UAGUGGCUUCCGGCACCCGGUGUUCUGAUGUGGCAGAACGCAAUGGGCCUGGAUGUGUACCUUGGGCCUGAUGAUAUGUCCAGGGUGUCCAAAAUGCCCACCGUUGAGGUCCAUGAUCCUGAGCCUGGGGCUCGUGGAAUAGCGCAGUGGGCACAUCCGUGGUCUGGUCCACACUACG